AAUCCCUGCGGGGGAAAGAUUUAUCGCUAUUAGAUGAGCCUAUGUCAGAUUAGCUAGUUGGUGGGGUAAUGGCCUACCAAGGCGGUGAUCUGUAGCUGGUCUGAGAGGAUGAUCAGCCACACUGGAACUGAGACACGGUCCAGACUCCUACGGGAGGCAGCAGUGGGGAAUAUUGGACAAUGGGCGCAAGCCUGAUCCAGCUAUGCCGCGUGAGUGAGGAAGGCCUUAGGGUUGUAAAACUCUUUCAGUAGGGAAGAUA
rnacentral:rRNA from 1 species